rnacentral:rRNA from 1 species
UACGUAGGAGACGAGCGUUGUCCGGAGUUACUGGGCGUAAAGGGUGCGCAGGUGGCGGCGCGCGUGGGGGGUGAAAUCGCCCGGCUUAACUGGGCGGGGGCCUUCCAGACGGCGUGGCUUGAGCAGCGGAGAGGAGCGGGGAAUCCCUGGUGUAGCGGUGGAAUGCGUAGAGAUCAGGGGGAACACCGAUGGCGAAGGCACCGCUCUGGCCGAACACUGACGCUGAGGCGCGAAAGCUGGGGGAGCGAACGGG